UCGGGAAUAUUGCGCAAUGGAGGAAACUCUGACGCAGUGACGCCGCGUAUAGGAAGAAGGUUUUCGGAUUGUAAACUAUUGUCGUUAGGGAAGAGAAGGGACAGUACCUAAGGAGGAAGCUCCGGCUAACUACGUGCCAGCAGCCGCGGUAAUACGUAGGGAGCGAGCGUUAUCCGGAAUUAUUGGGUGUAAAGGGUGCGUAGACGGGAGAACAAGUUAGUUGUGAAAUACCUCGGCUCAACUGAGGAACUGCAACUAAAACUGUGCUUCUUGAGUGCAGGAGAGGUAAGUGGAAUUCCUAGUGUAGCGGUGAAAUGCGUAGAUAUUAGGAGGAACACCAGUGGCGAAGGCGACUUACUGGACUGUAACUGACGUUGAGGCACGAAAGCGUGGGGAGCAAAUAGGAUUAGAUACC
rnacentral:rRNA from 1 species